GGCUCAGGACGAACGCUGGCGGCGUGCCUAACACAUGCAAGUCGAGCGGAGUCAGUAAGAGGAAGUUUCGGAUGGAAUCUGUUGAUUAGCGGCGGACGGGUGAGUAACGCGUGAGCGACCAACCUUGCACAGGGGGAUAACGGACCGAAAGGUUCACUAAUACCGCAUGAGACCACGGUGUUGCAUGACACAGAGGUCAAAGGAGCAAUCCGGUGCAAGACGGGCUCGCGUCCGAUUAGGUAGUUGGAGGGGUAACGGCCCACCAAGCCUAUGAUCGGUAGCCGACCUGAGAGGGUGAUCGGCCACAUUGGAACUGAGAUACGGUCCAAACUCCUACGGGAGGCAGCAGUGGGGAAUAUUGGGCAGUGGGGGGAAACCCUGACCCAGCAACGCCGCGUGAAGGAAGAAGGUUUUCGGAUUGUAAACUUCUGUCCUUGGUGAAGAGAAGAAGACGGUAGCCAAGGAGGAAGCCCCGGCUAACUACGUGCCAGCCGCUGC
rnacentral:rRNA from 1 species